rfam:Synechococcus sp. CC9311, complete genome.
AAAGACCACUAGGGGUGCCCCGGCUUUCAUUGCGAUCGCUGGGGCUGAGAUCACACCCUCUGAACUUGAUCCGGGUCAUGCCGGCGCAGGGAAGUGAACGAUGUGAUCU